rnacentral:sRNA from 1 species
UAUUACCGAAACACAAGUUGUUCAUUUUGUCUUUUCUAUUGAAUAAAACAGAAGUUCCUUGUCAUUCAAGUUACGUAUUGAUCACGAUCAAUAUGAAGUUGAUUUUCUCUCUGUUUUACUCUGUUUCUGUUUUGGAGACUUAAGUUUCUAACAAUAACUAUGUGUAUGAAUUCAGGGUAACAUUGGUAGUAUUAAGAUACAAC